AUACGUAGGGUGCGAGCGUUGUCCGGAAUUACUGGGCGUAAAGAGCUCGUAGGUGGUUUGUCGCGUCGUCUGUGAAAUUCCGGGGCUUAACUCCGGGCGUGCAGGCGAUACGGGCAUAACUUGAGUACUGUAGGGGAGACUGGAUUUCCUGGGGUAGCGGGGAAAUGCGCAGAUAUCAGGAGGAACACCGGGGGCGAAGGCGGUUCUCUGGGCAGUAACUGACGCUGAGGAGCGAAAGCGUGGGUAGCGAACAGGAUUAGAUACCCUGGUAGUCCAUGCCGUAAACGGUGGGCGCUAGGUGUAGGGGUCUUCCACGACUUCUGUGCCGUAGCUAACGCAUUAAGCGCCCCGCCUGGGGAGUACGGCCGCAAGGCUAAAACUCAAAGGAAUUGACGGGG
rnacentral:rRNA from 1 species